AGGGGUGUAGCUCAAUUGGUAGAGCAGCGGUCUCCAAAACCGCGGGUUGUGGGUUCGAGUCCUGCCACCCCUG
rnacentral:tRNA from 2 species